rnacentral:rRNA from 1 species
GAUGAACGCUGGCGGCGUGCUUAACACAUGCAAGUCGAACAAUGAAGCCCAGCUUGCUGGGUGGAUUAGUGGCGAACGGGUGAGUAACACGUGAGUAACCUGCCCUUAACUCUGGGAUAAGCCUGGGAAACUGGGUCUAAUACCGGAUAGGAGCGUCCACCGCAUGGUGGGUGUUGGAAAGAUUUAUCGGUUUUGGAUGGACUCGCGGCCUAUCAGCUUGUUGGUGAGGUAAUGGCUCACCAAGGCGACGACGGGUAGCCGGCCUGAGAGGGUGACCGGCCACACUGGGACUGCGACACGGCCCAGACUCCUACGGGAGGCAGCAGUGGGGAAUAUUGCACAAUGGGCGCAAGCCUGAUGCAGCGACGCCGCGUGAGGGAUGACGGCCUUCGGGUUGUAAACCUCUUUCAGUAGGGAAGAAGCGAAAGUGACGGUACCUGCAGAAGAAGCACCGGCUAACUACGUG